CCUACGGGUGACAGCAGUCGAGAAUCAUUCACAAUGGGGGAAACCCUGAUGGUGCGACGCCGCGUGGGGGAAUGAAGGUCUUCGGAUUGUAAACCCCUGUCAUGUGGGAGCAAAUUAAAAAGAUAGUACCACACGAGGAAGAGACGGCUAACUCUGUGCCAGCAGCCGCGGUAAUACAGAGGUCUCAAGCGUUGUUCGGAAUCACUGGGCGUAAAGCGUGCGUAGGCUGUUUCGUAAGUCGUGUGUGAAAGGCGCGGGCUCAACCCGCGGACGGCACAUGAUACUGCGAGACUAGAGUAAUGGAGGGGGAACCGGAAUUCUCGGUGUAGCAGUGAAAUGCGUAGAUAUCGAGAGGAACACUCGUGGCGAAGGCGGGUUCCUGGACAUUAACUGACGCUGAGGCACGAAGGCCAGGGGAGCGAAAGGGAUUAGAUACCACAGUAGUC
rnacentral:rRNA from 1 species